UACAUUUUCGUCGACAAUUUGUUUGUGAAUGGGUGUUGCAUCCUCAAAAUCUCGAGUUGAAACAUGUAUGAGUAGAAGCAAGUCUGCCGGAUGACUUCUCAAUAAAUUCGCUUCAGUCUUGAUUGGGUAACUCAUCUAUCAUCUUUUUUUUUUUUGCAUUGUGUGUUGUCAUUUUUUUGCAUUGUGAAUUUGAUGGUCCUCCAUAUCCAUGAUGUAUUGAUGUAUGUGUCCUUUUAAGUUUUUUGUUUUAUUGUCGGUAGUGACUUAACCAAAAGCGUGCCUCCUAAAUUAUUUGUAUUACAGAUAUAGGGAGAGUUUCACUCUCACAAUGCAGGGAAACGUAAUCUUGUGCAAGAUUCCCAAAUGGUAAUUUAGGCGCAGUUGAAGUGACAAUGAAUCAAGUAACAAAUCAAGAUUCCUGAAGGUUGAGAUAAUGUCUGUUGUGAGUUAAGACUGUGAGCGGACAAAUAUUGAUGCUCAUAUUUCUGUGAGCGUGUCCUAAAUGUUUAUGCUUUUAUUUUGGCAUCUCAUUAUUUUGGUUGUUAAGCAAACAAAUCUUUGGGUUUCCUUCUUCAUACUGGCUUAAUUUGGUUAUUGUGAUAAAAGAAUGAAUACAGUUUGUUUGUUGUUAAGUGCUUUAACUUGAAGAUCAGUAGAAGAAGCUACUU
rnacentral:lncRNA from 1 species